GAGGAGCCCUUCAAUGCCUCGCUCUGCCUUAGUGUCAUCUUAUGUCACUUCCAGUAUCCAUCCUUUCUACAAGCGAAAUCAUGGUCGAAAUGUCCUCUUCUCUUUCUCUCCACUUUUUGUUUCUGUCUUCUUUUGCCAAAUGAACCCUCUUAGCCAAGCCACAAAUCCUUGGAGAGGUUUGCCUCCUCAGCAGCAAAACUAGUCUCAUCUUCAACAAAAAAAGAAUGCCAUGUCUAUCUCAGCAAAAGUGUCAUACCAAAAAAGAUUUUACCCUCUCUUUCUUCUUACACUAGUAUUCAUUGGCUUUGAUGUCUCCCAUAGACCAUAGUACCGAGGUCAUCGCCAAUGCAGUUGUGGGAAUGUGCAGUUGCCGGAAAACGUGGAGUCAGUGUGGAACCUAAGAGGGGUGCUCAACGCCGUUGCACCGUGUCCUGAACCCACUCAACUUGUGGAUCAAUGUCCUCUUCUUUGACCUCUUCUCGGUUUCAAGACACAAGACUCUUUAAAAAAGAAUGUAUCCACCUGUGAUUACUCUUUUUGCUUUUCGUCCUAGUUUGGUGCGUUAUUUUAACAUCCAACCACUGUUUACCGAUUUUGAUGCAUUAUUAUUGUUAUAACAAAUGUGCUUGCAAUAUCAUAUGGUUGAGCACAUUUAUCAAUAGUGUAUCCUCCUUGAUUGCUUCGC